rnacentral:rRNA from 1 species
GACGAACGCUGGCGGCGUGCAUAAUACAUGCAAGUAGAACGCAGUUGCGAACGGGUGAGUACAGCGUAGGUAACUGCCUGGUAGCGGGGGAUAACACUUGGAAACGAUAGGUAAUACCGCAUACUACAAGAUGGACCUGCGUUGUAUUAGCUAGUUGGUGGGGGAACGGCUCACCAAGGGACAGAGACAUAGACGACAUGAGAGGGGGAGCGGCCACACCGUGACUGGGACACGGCCCAGACUCCUACGGGAGGCAGCAGUAGGGAAUCUUCGGCAAUGGACGGAAGUCUGACCGAGCAACGCCGCGUGAGUGAAGAAGGUUUUCGGAUCGUAAAGCUCUGUUGUAAGAGAAGCGGUAUCUUACCAGAAAGGGACGGCUAACUACGUGCCAGCAGCCGCGGUAAUUC